UACAGAGGGGGCAAGCGUUAUUCGGAAUUACUGGGCGUAAAGGGCGCGUAGGCGGCCUUCUAAGUCAGACGUGAAAUCCCCCGGCUUAACCUGGGAACUGCGUCUGAUACUGGGAGGCUUGAGUAUGGGAGAGGGAUGUAGAAUUCCAGGUGUAGCGGUGAAAUGCGUAGAUAUCUGGAGGAAUACCGGUGGCGAAGGCGGCAUCCUGGACCAUAACUGACGCUGAGGCGCGAAAGCUAGGGGAGCAAACGGG
rnacentral:rRNA from 1 species